UACGUAGGGUGCAAGCGUUAAUCGGAAUUACUGGGCGUAAAGCGUGCGCAGGCGGCUAUGCAAGACAGAUGUGAAAUCCCCGGGCUCAACCUGGGAACUGCAUUUGUGACUGCAUGGCUAGAGUACGGCAGAGGGGGAUGGAAUUCCGCGUGUAGCAGUGAAAUGCGUAGAUAUGUGGAGGAACACCAAUGGCGAAGGCAGCCCCCUGGGUCAACACUGACGCUCAUGCACGAAAGCGUGGGGAGCAAACAGG
rnacentral:rRNA from 1 species